GAGCUGGCCCAGCUGCUGCUGCCAAAGCAGCUGCCAAAGCUGCUAAGUAUGGUAAGAUGGGCUUGCUCUGCUGUUAUCCCACAGGUCCUGCCUCCUACCACCUCCCCACCCCAGGCUGCUUCCCUGAUCUGGGCCAAGGCUAGGCACUGCAUGGGGUCCCUGUGGGUCAGGGUGAGGGAUGAGCUUUCUGUAGGGCUGUGCAUGGGAUGAGAUCCUGGCUGUGUCAGGGAAUGCUCUCCAUAGAGCUGGCCUGCAUGGAGGCUCCUAGGUUCAUCAUCCAUACAUUUCUCAUACAUUUGUUCAUCUGUCUCCCUUCUACACACCCAUCCACACCACCACUCAUUCAUUCACCUACCUACCCAUCCAUGAACCAUCCAUUCAGUCACCCAUAGCUUCACCCACCAAUCCAUCCAUCCAUGCAUUCCACUAUUCAUCCAUACCUCCAUCCCACCACCCAUCCACCCAACCCCUCCAUCUGUACAGUCAUCCCAGCCUGCCAUUCCCCUCUUUUAUUCACCAUCUUUCUCCCUGAGCUGGACCCCAACCAUUCUCUCCCUUUUCUUGCAGGAGCAGGUGGCUUGGCUCCCGGUGUAGGUGGCCUGGCUCCUGGUGUAGGUGGCCUGGCACCUGGCGUGGGAGGCCUUGCUCCUGGUGUAGGUGGCCUUGCUCCUGGUGUAGGUGGCCUUGCUCCUGGUGUAGGUGGUCUUGCUCCUGGUGUAGGUGGUCUUGCUCCUGGUGUAGGUGGCCUGGCCCCCGGUGUUGGAGGUGUCCCAGGUGUUGGAGGUCCAGCAGCAGCCGCAAAAGCAGCAGCUAAGGCAGCCAAAUAUGGUGCUGGUGUUGGAGGAGUUCCCGGUGCUGUGCCCGGUGCUGUGCCCUGUGCUGUGCCCGGUGCUGUGCCUGGUGCUGUGCCCGGUGCUCCCGGUGUGCCAGGAGUGACACCUGGUGUUGGCGGUGUCCCCGGUUUGGUGCCAGGCGUAGGGGUGCCCGGUGCUGGUGUUCUUCCUGGGGCAGGUAUCCCCCAGGUUGGGGUGCAGCCUGGUGCUAAGCCUCCCAAAUUCGGUGUGCCCGGGGCUGGGGUCCCAGGGGUUGGUGGCAUCCCAGGUAGGUGGUGCAGGGGUUGGAUGCUCCUCUGUGGUAUGGGGCUGCACAGGGAAGGUGAGGGCUGCUGUGGGGCUGGGUGAGGGGUGGGUUGGACUUCCCACCCUGGUCUGAAGCUCACCACAGGCUUCCCUGAGUGCAGCCCCCAUAGCCUCACUGUUCAUCCCCAUGGGCACCUGUGGGUGCUCACCUGGACUCUCCAUCACAGGUGGCCUCGGAGUUGGUGGCCUCGGAGUUGGUGGCCUUGGUGCUGGUGGCCUUGGUGCUGGUGGCCUUGGUGCUGGUGAGUGGCGCUGGUGGGCUUGGUGUGGGGGUGCCAGGGAUGGAAGGGCUGAAAAGGAAAUGGUAUUUUGGGGAUGAAGAGCCACACUGUCCCCUCCCAGCUGUGACCUGUAAGGCUGGGUUUUGGGGAGCAGGGAAGGACAGUGGCACAUGGUCCCCAAGUCCCCAUCCUGCACUGUCACCAUGCCCUAACUGUGCCCUGGGGUACAACAGGGUGGGGAUGGCCACAGCCCCAGCAUGGUCUGGGCAAUGGAGACAGGGAACAGUACAGCAGUGUCUGCAAUGUGCGAGACACCUGGGAACCCUCUGGGCUCAGUGUGGGGGCUGUGCUGAUGCCCCUCUCUGAUGUAGGGCUCUUGUAUCCAGGAGCUGCUGGAAAACCUCCUAAGCCAGGUAAGGAGCAGGGACGGCCCUGGCUGCACCCUGCUGAUACCCCCACGCCUUCACCCUCACCGGGGCUCUCCCUUCGCACAGGUUUUGGUGCUGGGGGGCUGCAGCCCAGUGAGCGCUGGGGCUGGGGGCUGAGGUGGGAGCGUGUCGCUGCCUGCACUGCUGUGCUCACUGUCUCCAUGCCGCUGCUUAGUGGGGCGCACUGGGUGGGCAGCAAUGGUGGGGACGUGGCUCUCGGGGCAGCUCGCAGCCAGCUGUAGGCUGGGGACACUGCGGCCAUGCAGGGCUGUCACUGCUUGUCACUGCUGAUGCUUUUCCCCCCCCAGGGGCUGGAGUUCCCGGUUUUGGUGUGUCACCGAUAUUUCCAGGUACCUUCCCCUGCCCUUUGCCGUGCCCAUGGGGACACGGAGCACGCGGGGCAGGGGGGAGCGGGGCAGAGCUGGGCUGUGGGGCACAGGGCAGAGCAUCCCGAUGCUGAUGGGGUUGUGCUUGCUUGCAGGUGGGGUUGGCGGCCAGUUGGGAUUUGGCGGUGAGUGCACCCUGGUCACACACAUGGGGCCAUGGGGACGUUGGGUUGGGGGUCCCCUCACCUCCACAGGGCGUUUGUCCCCACCCCACUCACUGCUCUGCCUUGUCCCCACAGGGAAGCCCCCCAAGACCUACGGAGGAGCCCUGGGUGCCCUGGGCUUUAGAGGUGAGCGCUGCCCGGCAUCCCCCCACCCCUCCUCCGAGAACCUUUAUGGGGCACGUGGGGGGGGGCUGAACACUGUCCCCCCUCCAUCCCCAGGUGGAGUUGGCUGCGCACAAGGGAAAUACUGCGGGAGGAAGCGGAAGUAACCGCCCACCGUCACCGAUGACCUCAUGAACUUUGGUGCUACUGCAUGGUCCAGAAUGUAAAUCCCCACCGAGCUGAGACCCCCCCCCGGCCCCACGCUCCCGGCAGGGACCCCACGGCAGCGUCAGGGGCCGCCCCCCACCCCUGGAACCUCCCCCCCCUCCCCAUCCCCAGCAGGGAGCGCGGAAUAAACUGCGGGGAGCAGCCA
rnacentral:lncRNA from 1 species